GGGAGUAUGAUGUGAAUCUACAUGGUUUUCUUAGAGAACCUUGCUAUAGCACGAUCUGAGACAUGAAAGAAGGGAAACUAUUCCUAAAACAUCUCAUAGCCUCCUGCGCAUAAGUGUGGUGCACAUUACACGCAUGUACAAGACUCUACAAGAUGUGGCUUUUCAAACAUCCUAGGAUACUAUUGAACCUUAGGCUCUGAUACCAAGUUUCUAACACCC
rnacentral:lncRNA from 1 species